GGUUCCGUAGUGUAGUGGUUAUCAUGUUCCCCUUCACUCGCGAAUGGUCUUCGAUUCGAUCCCGACGAGACCA